rnacentral:rRNA from 1 species
GAUGAACGCUGGCGGCGUGCCUAAUACAUGCAAGUCGAGCGAACAGACGGGGAGCUUGCUCCUGUGACGUUAGCGGCGGACGGGUGAGUAACACGUGGAUAACCUACCUAUAAGACUGGGAUAACUUCGGGAAACCGGAGCUAAUACCGGAUAAUAUAUUGAACCGCAUGGUUCAAUAGUGAAAGACGGUUUUGCUGUCACUUAUAGAUGGAUCCGCGCCGCAUUAGCUAGUUGGUAAGGUAACGGCUUACCAAGGCAACGAUGCGUAGCCGACCUGAGAGGGUGAUCGGCCACACUGGAACUGAGACACGGUCCAGACUCCUACGGGAGGCAGCAGUAGGGAAUCUUCCGCAAUGGGCGAAAGCCUGACGGAGCAACGCCGCGUGAGUGAUGAAGGUCUUCGGAUCGUAAAACUCUGUUAUUAGGGAAGAACAAAUGUGUAAGUAACUAUGCACGUCUUGACGGUACCUAAUCAGAAAGCCACGGCUAACUACGUG